ensembl:lncRNA
UCUGGAAGGAGGGGCGGUGAGGUGCAGGGGGUGGAGGAUGCUAAGUAACUUUUUAUUCGAAUUAGAUUCAAAAUAGACCGUCUUUCUAAGAGUGUAUGCUCAUGCCACCCAAGAGGGAGACUGUUGCGGCCACCAACCCAACGCCAGUCAAGAUGAUGAAGAUCGCCACGGACGCUCAGGACUUUGUGUGUGACCCGCUGGAGGACAAGUACAGAUUUUCGGAAUCCCCCCAGCUACUCACCUUUCGCUCAUCAAGAGAGCGUACCUGCCGCUUUUGAGGAGGAAGAUGGAAGUCCAGGGAUUCGAACCGACACGAUUAGUCUCCUCAUGAAAAUAGAGCAGCUACAAGCACAGCUCAAAUAUGAACGCAGAUGUCGGAUUCUGGCCGAAAGGGAAUUGAGAGAACUAAAAGAGAUGAACGGCCUUAUGCUCCAGAUGAGACAUACGGCACAUGAGCUGCGGGCCACACUGGACCAGGUCCGUCAAGGGACCAGCGAUGCUGUUUCAUCACAGGGCCUGGCAGAAGAAGAAAUCUCCUUGGUUACAGACCCAGAGGGAGAAAUGAGAAUACCGUACCACAUAGCUGAGGAGGACAGUAACUUCCUAUACCUCUCGGAGAGCCUGAGGGUGCCCAGGAACCUUUACGAGCGCAUCUCGGAGAUCUCCGACUUCCGGAAGUACACGUCGGCGCUGCUGAUGAUGCUGUUCGACAGGGAGACCUUGGCCACGCACUCGCUGCAGGGCCGGCGCACCAACGUCACCGGGGACGAGUGUCAGAAGCCCCAACUGCCCCCGGAGAUCCUUAGCAGUAUUAUCGAUCACGUUGGGGUCAAGUUCGCCGUGGACGGUAGCCAGAUUAAGACAGCAAUCCGAACGAAACUGAACAAUGAGGACAAAUUAUUGAAAAAGAGGAUGGGGAUUAAUAAACAACAAAAUGUGUUCGCUCCAAGCUCUAGCUUUGAGCACAACUCUGAACAGAAUGCCGAGGGGCAAAGCACUGAAAAUGAUUAAUCCCUCCAUAUUGAUAGGUCUAUUUUUUUGUGUCUUGUUCACAAGUAUUAAAUAGCAGAUAGCUAUGUAAGUAGAUGGUUUUUUGAUGGAUGCAUUUAGAAUUGAAAUAAUGGUAUUUAAUUAAUGUUUAGAUUAUAGUUCUUUAUAUAUUGAAUUUACAACUAAUUAUACAAUGUUAAAAUUGACAUGCUGUUAUUUUUAAGAAGGUUUCUGGUUGGAGGCCUGCUGGUCUGCAGACCAAAACCACCAUAGAUAUUGCAUUCGUUAGAACAACGUUAAAAUGCAGUUUUUGAAAUGAACUAUUUUUCCUAGCUAUUGGAAAAUGUAAACUCAUCAAUGGUACUGUAAUGGACAUCACUGUGGACAGAGUAUUUAGUAGUUUUGAUUAUUGCUAGAUUUUAUCUACUCAAUACAAUAAAUUAUCAGUCAAGUUUAUGUAACUUAUAGAAAUGUGAUAAACAAUAGAGGGCUAUCUAUGUUUUCUAGCCACAUGGGCAUUGCAUAUAGACGGGUAGUACUGUGUUGCUGGAACGAUUAAAUGUCGGUACAAAUAAUGUGUUUGGAAAUGUGUUUUGGUGCUUCCUCUGUCACACUGUAUGCACAUUCGGUCUGUCUGGCUAUCUCAAGGUCCAAUAAACAGGUAAUAUAUUUAUAUUCUAUCAACAAAC